CCAUAAGAAUGGGAUAACUCCGGGAAACCGGGGGUAAUACCGGAUUACAUUCUGACCUGCAUGGUUCGAAAUUGAAAGGCGGGUUCGGCUGUCACUUAUGGAUGGACCCGCGUCGCAUUAGCUAGUUGGUGAGGUAACGGCUCACCAAGGCAACGAUGCGUAGCCGACCUGAGAGGGUGAUCGGCCACACUGGGACUGAGACACGGCCCAGACUCCUACGGGAGGCAGCAGUAGGGAAUCUUCCGCAAUGGACGAAAGUCUGACGGAGCAACGCCGCGUGAGUGAUGAAGGCUUUCGGGUCGUAAAACUCUGUUGUUAGGGUAGAACAAGUGCUAGU
rnacentral:rRNA from 1 species